rnacentral:lncRNA from 1 species
CAAUACACCAACCACUCUAUUUCAGAACGAACUUCUCACGAACCUGAAUUGUCCAAUUUCAUGGACCAGUCAAUAUCGGAUUGAGUCCAAAACUUACUGAACAUUAUAACAUGGUGCGAGGAGUCGUUUGGUGUGUUUUGAGUGAAAUCCAGUAUCUAAAACUUUGCAAAACACAAACCAUUCUAGUUUAGAACGAACUUCGUAC